rnacentral:other from 1 species
GGUUCCCUGCAGUGUGCGUGAUGGUCUCGGAGGCUCGGUUGAGCCAACGCUAACCCUAAGUGAGCCGCGACGUUUCGUGGUGUGCACGCCUCCGCGUGAGGUAGCCUGAAGCGAAACUGGUUAUAUCUAGAGCGGCUCCACCUGCUUCAGCAGGUUCAUCCGACCUCCCCACACGGCAAAUGCGGGGUCUUU